CUUCACAGAAUUUAAAUCGGCAUUAGGAAUAGAUUUCCUUGAUUUAGUAAUGAUAUUGCUCAUAGAAAUUGAUAAUGUGAAGAAUAACAAUACAGGAACAUAGAAUAACAAGAAAGAAAUUCUAGCAGCAAGGACACAGUAAAAAGACAAAACAUUUAGACCCUUUGAAAGAUAAAUGUUUGCAAUGGAUAUUAAUAAAUUCUAGCCAAUUUGUAUGAUGUACAAUGCAGACAAUAUUUCUGCCUCCUAACGCACUAUUCACGUAAAAGAAGAUGUGGGUAUUGUAUUUAUAGGUAGUUAAUGAUACAUGGAAUAUAUUUCUAUAUUAUUGCAAUAACGAUGUCUUUAUGUUGUAUUUUUUUAGAACAGAUUUAUUAUUAGUUGGCUAGUGUGUUAGUAGGAUAGCCAUUGGCAAUUAUAAAGUAUGAAGUUGUCACGUAUUAAUAAUAGGAAUUGAUCAAAGCUUAUACAUUUAUUGUGAUAUUUAUAUUGUGAAUUUAAGUAGUUAGUUUUGGUUGUUUAAUAAACGAAUUAAUGUGC